GCUUAUUGCGCGGCGAAAAACCUUACACACAGUGUUUUUUGUUAUUACAAGAACUUUUGCUUUGGUCUGGACUAGAAAUAGUUUGGGCCAGAGGUUUACUGAACUAAACUUCAAUAUUUAUAUUGAAUUGUUAUUUAUUUAAUUGUCAAUUUGUUGAUUAAAUUCAAAAAAUCUUCAAAACUUUCAACAACGGAUCUCUUGGUUCUCGCAUCGAUGAAGAACGCAGCGAAAUGCGAUAAGUAAUAUGAAUUGCAGAUUUUCGUGAAUCAUCGAAUCUUUGAACGCACAUUGCGCCCUCUGGUAUUCCAGAGGGCAUGCCUGUUUGAGCGUCAUUUCUCUCUCAAACCUUCGGGUUUGGUAUUGAGUGAUACUCUUAGUCGAACUAGGCGUUUGCUUGAAAUGUAUUGGCAUGAGUGGUACUGGAUAGUGCUAUAUGACUUUCAAUGUAUUAGGUUUAUCCAACUCGUUGAAUAGUUUAAUGGUAUAUUUCUCGGUAUUCUAGGCUCGGCCUUACAAUAUAACAAACAAGUUUGACCUCAAAUCAGGUAGGACUACCCGCUGAACUUAAGCAUAUCA
rnacentral:rRNA from 1 species